rnacentral:rRNA from 1 species
UACGUAGGGUGCGAGCGUUGUCCGGAAUUACUGGGCGUAAAGAGCUCGUAGGUGGUUUGUCGCGUUGUCCGUGAAAACUCACAACUCAAUUGUGGGCGUGCGGGCGAUACGGGCAGACUGGAGUACUGCAGGGGAGACUGGAAUUCCUGGUGUAGCGGUGGAAUGCGCAGAUAUCAGGAGGAACACCGGUGGCGAAGGCGGGCUCAUGGG